GGAUGAGAAGGCGCAACGCCGCGUGCAGGAUGACGGCCUUCGGGUUGUAAACUGCUUUUCUGACCGAAGAUUUUGACGGUAGGUCAGGAAUAAGGAUCGGCUAACUCCGUGCCAGCAGCCGCGGUCAUACGGAGGAUCCAAGCGUUAUCCGGAAUUACUGGGCGUAAAGAGUUGCGUAGGCGGCAAAGUAAGCAGAGUGUGAAAUUGUGUGGCUCAACCAUACACCCAUGCUCUGAACUGCUUAGCUAGA
rnacentral:rRNA from 1 species